UGCUGGAUCAUUAGCCAAGUGACCACGC
rnacentral:rRNA from 1 species